GUUCGAACCUUCCUCCAGCUGUGGUCCGUUCGUGGGCAGCGCUACAGUGUUUUAAUGUAAACAGCUGUGUGUGUGGACAGUCUACCAGGACCGGCCCAGUCCACUCUGAGAUACUGUCCUCAGAGGCCUUUGUCCUGCCGCUGAUACUGGCGCAGAUUGUUGUCCUGACCUCCUUUGAGUCGCGGAGGAGAGCCAAUGGAAAAGCCAUCGAGAGACUGAAGGACAUGCUGGUGAUGAGCACCUCAGAUAAGCAUUUUCUGCUGAAGCAGCACACUCUCUCACUCAGACGCCAGAAGAAAACCUUCAAGGCGCCCACCACUGUUUCAGGCACUAGAGAGGGCAGCCCUACCACCAUGAAAGACCCCUCAGCAGGCAUCGGAGAGGACAGCCAUAUCGCUCAACUGAAGGACCCCUCUGCAUAGCCUACAGGCAAUGACAGCCCAUCAUAAAGAUAGAUAGAGGACUCUAGUGCCCAAAAGCCAGUUUUAGCAUGUGCAGUGACAUUCGGGACUUUCACCAUUCCAAAGUAGUCAACUGAGUGGAACUACCUAUGGUUUAAGGAUCACAUGAUUCCAUCCAGGUCAUCAGGAGGGUUCAACCAAUGAAUUAUACUCGUGAGGAAACAUUCCAUAACUGCAGGUAGCUGUAAAUGGCCAACCUUGGCUUUAUACCUGUUCAAACAACACACUCCAGGUGGCAGGAUGCACCCUUUCAGUUUGUUUACCAACUCAUAGAAGUAGUAGAAGAAGAAAAUGAACUAGUUCGAAAUGAAGAUUUCCUCAAUGGCUCUUCCCAUGCUCCCACAGACGCUCUAUUGGGACAGAUGCAAUGUUGUGUUCUCUAACUAUCUCUAUGCAGCCCAUAGAGUUAGAAAUAGAGCCCACCACCUAUCAUUGUGCCAAAUGCACCCUCUAUCCAACUCUAUGGAGCAGACAGCCAAAUGGCACCCUAUUCCAUAUUUAGCGCACAAAAGUAGUAGCAGAUUGUGACCUUUGAGCUUUUUGUCACUCCCUAACAUUCAGUGUUUAUUGCUCUGGGCUGUACCUAAAUGUCAUAUACAGUAUUAACAACAACAAGUAGUCAGUUACAGAACUUGUGUUACUGUAGUGAUGUGUUUCGUGGCUAUGAUGCAGUUUGUAAAAGCUCAAUUCUCAGGUAUGUUGUAUGAUCGGGGAUGAUGUUGCUAUAUAGGCUGUACUUGUAAACAGGACAGAGUACUACUAAGGACAGAGUACUACUAAGGACAGAGUACUACUCAUGUGUACUGUUAUAAUACUGAUGUGUUUAAUGGUUUUAUAUAUACAGUGGGGAGAACAAGUAUUUGAUAUACUGCCGAUUUUGCAGGUUUUCCUACUUACAAAGCAUGUAGAGGUCUGUAAUUUUUUUAAUCAUAGGUACACUUCAACUGUGAGAGACGGAAUCUAAAACAAAAAUCCAGAAAAUCACAUUGUAUGAUUUGUAUGUAAUUAAUUUGCAUUUUAUUGCUCACAUAUGAAGUGUAACUAUGAUAAAACAUUACAGACCUCUACAUGCUUUGUAAGUAGGAAAACCUGCAAAAUCGGCAGUGUAUCAAAUACUUGUUCUCCCCACUGUAUAUGUAAAAGCUCUUACUAUGAAGUAGAUGUUGUUUCUGCAACAGCUUGAGUUUUUUUUAAAUAUAUUUUUUAAAUAUUUGAUCAAAUACUGUUUUUAAAUGUGAACUUCUAUGAAUGCAGUUUUAAAAGAGCUUCUAUUAAAAGGCUGUGUUGUUACGUCAUUCACUGUUCUGUUGUUGUUUUCUCAGAUCCCUGGUUCCUUGUGUCGUCCAUUCAUAACUUAACCUUAUUAGGUUAGUAGUCAUAGUGUUGUCUAGAUGGACAGUAUAGUUGUAGUAGGUUAGUAGUGACAGUGUGAUGUCUAGAUGGACAGUAUAGUUGUAGUAGGUUAGUAGUCAUAGUGUGUUGUCUAGAUGGACAGUAUAGUUGUAGUAGGUUAGUAGUCAUAGUGUUGUCUAGAUGGACAGUAUAGUUGUAGUAGGUUAGUAGUCAUAGUGUUGUCUAGAUGGACAGUAUAGUUGUAGUAGGUUUAGUAGUCAUAGUGUUGUCUAGAUGGACAGUAUAGUUGUAGUAGGUUAGUAGUCAUAGUGUUGUCUAGAUGGACAGUAUAGUUGUAGUAGGUUUAGUAGUCAUAGUGUUGUCUAGAUGGACAGUAUAGUUGUAGUAGGUUUAGUAGUCAUAGUGUUGUCUAGAUGGACAGUAUAGUUGUAGUAGGUUAGUAGUCAUAGUGUUGUCUAGAUGGACAGUAUAGUUGUAGUAGGUUAGUAGUGACAGUGUGAUGUCUAGAUGGACAGUAUAGUUGUAGUAGGUUAGUAGUCAUAGUGUUGUCUAGAUGGACAGUAUAGUUGUAGUAGGUUAGUAGUCAUAGUGUGUUGUCUAGAUGGACAGUAUAGUUGUAGUAGGUUAGUAGUCAUAGUGUGUUGUCUAGAUGGACAGUAUAGUUGUAGUAGGUUAGUAGUCAUAGUGUUGUCUAGAUGGACAGUAUAGUUGUAGUAGGUUAGUAGUCAUAGUGUUGUCUAGAUGGACAGUAUAGUUGUAGUAGGUUAGUAGUCAUAGUGUUGUCUAGAUGGACAGUAUAGUUGUAGUAGGUUAGUAGUGACAGUGUGAUGUCUAGAUGGACAGUAUAGUUGUAGUAGGUUAGUAGUCAUAGUGUGUUGUCUAGAUGGACAGUAUAGUUGUAGUAGGUUAGUAGUCAUAGUGUUGUCUAGAUGGACAGUAUAGUUGUAGUAGGUUAGUAGUCAUAGUGUUGUCUAGAUGGACAGUAUAGUUGUAGUAGGUUUAGUAGUCAUAGUGUUGUCUAGAUGGACAGUAUAGUUGUAGUAGGUUAGUAGUCAUAGUGUUGUCUAGAUGGACAGUAUAGUUGUAGUAGGUUUAGUAGUCAUAGUGUUGUCUAGAUGGACAGUAUAGUUGUAGUAGGUUAGUAGUCAUAGUGUUGUCUAGAUGGACAGUAUAGUUGUAGUAGGUUAGUAGUCAUAGUGUUGUCUAGAUGGACAGUAUAGUUGUAGCAGGUUAGUAGUCAUAGUGUUGUCUAGAUGGACAGUAUAGUUGUAGUAGGUUAGUAGUCAUAGUGUUGUCUAGAUGGACAGUAUAGUUGUAGUAGGUUAGUAGUCAUAGUGUUGUCUAGAUGGACAGUAUAGUUGUAGUAGGUUAGUAGUCAUAGUGUUGUCUAGAUGGACAGUAUAGUUGUAGUAGUUUAGUAGUCAUAGUGUUGUCUAGAUGGACAGUAUAGUUGUAGUAGGUUAGUAGUCAUAGUGUUGUCUAGAUGGACAGUAAAGUUGAAAGUUUUUGAUGAGAGACGCACAUACUCAAGUUAUCUCCCUCUAGCAUGUGGUGGACCGUGCAACACCCUGACACACACACACACACACACACACACACACACACACACACACACACACACACACACACACACACACACACACACACACACACACACACACACACAUGACACUUAUACAGACAGCAUGCUACGGAUGAACACUGAGCCUGAGUAUGAAGAAAAAACGAGAAUUAUGUUUAUUGCCUGUUUUAGUUGUGGCCUGUCUAGUGUCCAUAAUGGGUGGUUCAUCUCUCUCUAGCCCUAUUCUGAUUGGUCCAGACAAGGCCUACCUGAACUCCAAGGUAGUGUUCCAAUGUAGGUCACCUGGGUCUCCUCCACCAAACACAUAUGAGCUCCUGAAGGACGGCAACCACCUGGUCGCCACGAGCAACGACCUCCAAGACGACCAAUCGGCUACGUUCUUCCUGAAGAUCUCUGUGACGUCAGAAGGAUCGUACCACUGCAGGGUGACGGCAGGUGGAAACAUGGGCCUCAGUGGAACAGUCCGCCUGCAAGUAGUGAUCCCUGUCUCAGGCACUAUGGUGACCUCUGACCCUGAUCCUCCCAUUCUCUACGAGGGGUUGAGGCUCACUCUCACCUGUGAUGUCACCAAGGGCUCCCACCUCUCCUACACCUGGUUCUACAACAGACAGGAAGUGACAUCAUCUCCAACCUCACCUUUGACCCCGCUUCUGCUUUGGCCGGUGGGGAACACGCUGGUGGUGGAGAGGGUCACAGCAAAGCAUGCUGGGAAUUAUUCGUGCAUUGCCGGGACCAGGAUGCAGACCAACAGCAGGUUCUCCAGCAGCAGAGAGGUCACGGUUAGGGUCAAAGCCUAUCUCUCCGUACCCCAGAUAUCCUUCACCAUCUCCAAAGAGGGUUCGAGUUUCUGCGGCAAUGUGACCUGCAUGUCAUCAAGGGGAACCCCUCCCGUGACCUUCUACCUCUUCCUUGACGACAAGGAGGUGGGUUCCGACGUGGCAACGGAGUCGCUGGUUGCCUGGUUCCCUGUUGCCAUGGUUCCCGGGCGUGACAUGGGCACGGUGCGGUGUACAGUGGAGAGUGAUGCACAGAGACUGACCAGCAGACCCCUCACUCUGGUAGUGGUCCCAGUAGGAGGCUCACCAAAGGUGGAUGUGGAGUACCUUUACAGGGUUGAUUCCAAGAUGGCCGCCGCUCGUCUCCAAUGCCUCCUGAGCCUCGGGACAUUCCCUUUCUUCUCCUGGUCCCUCAACGGCUCCCUCCUCCUUCACCCCUCCGAGGGAGACUCCUCUCACCCCUCUCACGCCCUGGCGGACGGAGGGCGCACCCUAUUCCUCACCGAGAUCACCCUAGAGGACUCUGGGUAUUAUCGGUGCAGGGCAAGGGACAGUUAUGACGUAACGUCCGCUUGGGUGGAAAGCCAACCUGUCCUUGUGCAGGUCACAGAAGUUGCCACGACAACCAUAGAGGUCAUGGCCAUAGUAUUCUGCUGUUUCCUCAUGCUGACCCUGGCAGGGGGUGUGGCCUGUGUGAUGUGGAUGCUCAACCGCCAACGAGACGUUGUGGCAAGCAGCGAGCAGAGAGCGAGAGCAGCAAAUGAAAGACGAUUCAGCGAACAUUUCUGCAUCAUUCCAGAUCCACUUCCUCUGUCUGACAUCACUACCAGACCCUUGAGAUCACAAUAUAACCGACGUGAUGAAAUAAAACCCAACCUAAGACCGACGAGUUCCUCACAAAAUAAUCCUUCAAUGUCAUUUUAUCCAACAAACUAUUAUAACAUUUUUUUCAAACACUUCAUCCCAUUUUUCAGAUUGAAGUGUUAUAUUUUCAAAACUCUCACAACAAAACUCAAAACUCCUAUUGAUUGCAGUACUCGCGGGGGUAAUACACUCGACCACUGCUACUCUAACUUCCGUGAUCCAUACAAAGCCGUUCCCCGCCACCCCUUCGGCAAAUCCGACCACGGCGCCAUCUUGCUCCUACCGUCUUAUAGGUAGAAACUCAAACAGGAUGUACCAGUGACUAGAACCAUUCAACGCUGGUCUGACCAAUCGGAAUCCAUUCUUCAAGAUUGUUUGAUCACGCAGACUGGGAUGUGUUCCGGUCAGCCUCAGAGAACAACAUCGAUCUAUACGCUGACUCUGUGAGUGAGUUUAUAAGGAAGUGCAUUGGAGAUGUUGUACCCACUGUGCCUAUUAAAACCUUCCCUAACCAGAAACCGUGGAUGGAUAGCGGCAUUCGUGCAAAACUGAAAGCGCGAACCACCACAUUUAACCACAGAAAGAGGUCUGGGAAUAAGACUGAAUAUGAAGAAUGUAGUUAUUCCCUCCGCAAGGCAAUCAAACGAGCGAAAUGCCGGUACAGGGACGAAGAUGAGUUGCAAUUCAACGGCUCAGACAUAAGACGUGUGUGGCAGGGCCUACAGGAAAUCAAGGACUACAAAAAGAAAACCAGCUCUGUCACGGACACCGACGUCAUUCUUCCAGACAAACUAAACACCUUCUUUGCCCGCUUUGAGGAUAUACAGUGCCAACGUUGAAGCCCGCUAUCAAGGACUGAGCCCGCCCUUUCCUUCUCGGUGGCCGACUCUGCUGUCCCCACAUGCUUCAAGAUGGCCACCAUUGUUCCUGUGCCCAAGAAGGCAAAGAUAACUGAACUAAAUGACUACUGCUCCGUAGCACUUACUUCUGUCAUCAUGACGUGCUGAGAGACUAGUCAAGGAUCAUAUCACCUCCACCUUACCUGUCACCCUAGACCCAAUUCAGUUUGCAUACCACCCCAAUAGGUCCACAGACGAUGCAAUCGCCAUCACACUGCACACUGCCCUGUCCCAUCUGAACAAGAGGAACACCUAUGUAAGAAUGCUGUUCAUUGACUACAGCUCAGCAUUCAACACCAUAGAACCAUUCAAGCUCAUCAUCUCUGCCGCUCGGCUAUCGCUCAUCCACAUAUUUAUAUGUGCAUAUUCUCAUUCAACCCUUUUUUGUAUUAGGUAGUUGUUUGGGAAUUGUUAGAUUACUUGUUAGAUAUUACUGCACAAGCAUUUCGCAUUAACAUCUGCUAACCAUGUGUAUGUGACCAAUAAAAUUGGAUUUGAUUUAUACAGUACAUGUGUCAGUCUUACAGUUUCAUUCUCCUUGUACAGUACAUAUGUCAGUUUUACAGUUUCAUUAUCCUUGUACAGUACAUAUGUCAGUCUUAAUGUUUCAUUAUCCUUGUACAGUACAUGUGUCAGUCUUAAUGUUUCAUUAUCCUUGUACAGUACAUAUGUCAGUCUUACAGUUUCAUUAUCCUUGUACAGUACAUAUGUACAACCCAGGUAUAAAUAUAUUGUAAUGUACAACCCAGGUAUACAUAUAUUGUAAUGUACAACCCAGGUAUACAUAUAUUGUAAUGUACAACCCAGGUAUAUAUUGUAAUGUACAACCCAGGUAUAAAUAUAUUGUAAUGUACAACCCAGGUAUACAUAUAUUGUAAUGUACAACCCAGGUAUAUAUUGUAAUGUACAACCCAGGUAUAAAUAUAUUGUAAUGUACAACCCAGGUAUAAAUAUAUUGUAAUGUACAACCCAGGUAUAUAUUGUAAUGUACAACCCAGGUAUUUCAGCAGUGCGUUGUACAGCACAGUGUAAUUCCGAAUGGAAGCACUUUCAGUGACUCUCCACGUUGUCCAAUUGAAGCACCCUGGAUGAUGUAGUAUUUACAGACACAUACAUAUAGUAUUUGAUUUUAAAUUCCAACAUAAAUUGAUGUGAAUUGA